GUAAUAGCUCACUAGUCGAGAGGUCCUGCGCCGAAAAUGUCCGGGGCUGAAACACAACACCGAAGCUUAGGAAUGUAGUGAUACAUUGGUAGAGGAGCAUUCUUAAAGGGAAGAAGCAGUACCGGUAAGGAGCUGUGGACAUUUAAGAAGAGAGAAUGCCGGAAUGAGUAGCGAGAUGGAGGUGGGAAUCCUCCAGGCCGAAUAUCCAAGGUUUCCAGAGUAAAGCUGAUCUGCUCUGGGUAAGUCGGGGCCUAAGGUAAGGCUGAGAAGCGUAGCCGAUGGACAACAGGUUGAGAUUCCUGUACCGCGUAUCAUCAGAACUGUGGGGACACAGAAGGACAGCACAGCCCGGGAAUGGAAAGACCGGGGCAAGCAGGGUAGGAGUCAAGCUGGCAAAUCCGCUUGACGAUCCGAAGCUGUGAUGCGGAGCGAAUAUAAGUAGCGAAGUGUGUGAUUCCGGCUGUCAAGAAAAGCCGCUAUCGUGUGAUACGUGCCCGUACCGUAAACCGACACAGGUAGAUGAGGAGAGAAUCCUAAGGCCGGCGGGAGAAGCAUUGUUAAGGAACUCGGCAAAAUGACCCUGUAACUUCGGGAGAAAGGGUGCCUGGGAAACCAGGCCGCAGAGAAUAGGCUCAAGCAACUGUUUAGCAAAAACACAGGUCUAUGCAAAACCGAAAGGUGAGGUAUAUGGGCUGACGCCUGCCCGGUGCUGGAAGGUUAAGAGGAGAGGUUAGCGCAAGCGAAGCUUUGAAUUGAAGCCCCAGUAAACGGCGGCCGUAACUAUAACGGUCCUAAGGUAGCGAAAUUCCUUGUCGGGUAAGUUCCGACCCGCACGAAAGGCGUAAUGAUUUGAGCGCUGUCUCGACAAUGCACCCGGUGAAAUUGAAAUACCAGUGAAGAUGCUGGUUACCCGCGCCAGGACGGAAAGACCCCAUGGAGCUUUACUCCAGCUUGAUACUGGGAUUCGGUACUGCAUGUACAGGAUAGGUGGGAGACUGAGAAACUUGGACGCCAGUCUGAGAUGAGUCGCUGUUGGGAUACCACCCCUGCGGUAUUGGAUUUCUAACCUGCAGCCGUGAUCCGGCUGGGGGACAAUGUCAGGCGGGGAGUUUGACUGGGGCGGUCGCCUCCGAAAGGGUAUCGGAGGCGCUCAAAGGUUCCCUCAGAAUGGUUGGAAACCAUUCGAAGAGUGCAAAGGCAGAAGGGAGCUUGACUGCGACACCGACGGGUGGAGCAGGUACGAAAGUAGGACUUAGUGAUCCGGUGGUAUAAAGUGGGAUUGCCAUCGCUCAACGGAUAAAAGCUACCCUGGGGAUAACAGGCUUAUCACUCCCAAGAGUUCACAUCGACGGAGUGGUUUGGCACCUCGAUGUCGGCUCAUCGCAUCCUGGGGCUGUAGCAGGUCCCAAGGGUUGGGCUGUUCGCCCAUUAAAGCGGUACGCGAGCUGGGUUCAGAACGUCGUGAGACAGUUCGGUCCCUAUCCGGCGUGGGCGUAGGAUAUUUGAGAGGAGCUGUCCUUAGUACGAGAGGACCGGGAUGGACUGGCCGCUGGUGUAUCUGUUGCAUACCAAAUGCAUGGCAGAGUAGCCAAGCCGGGACGGGAUAAACGCUGAAGGCAUCUAAGCGUGAAGCCCCCCUCAAGAUGAGAUAUCCCAUACGCAGGUAGUAAGACCCCUUGAAGACGACAAGGUAGAUAGGUCAGAGGUGGAAGUGUGGUGACACAUGGAGCUGACUGAUACUAAUCGGUCGAGGGCUUGACCAA
rnacentral:rRNA from 1 species